rnacentral:rRNA from 1 species
GGGGUUGACGGUACCCUACUAGAAAGGGGCCGCUAACUUCGUGCCAGAAGCGUCGGUAAUACGGGGGCUCCAAGCGUUAUCCGGUGUUAUUGGGCGUAAAGAGUCGUGUAGGUGGUUGGGUAAGUUAUCUUUCAAAUAUCUUUGCUUAACAAAGAGGAGGGGGAUAAUACUGCUCGACUAGAAUUUUCUCAAGGGAGAUCGGAACUGAGGGAGGAGUAGUGAAAUGCGUUGAUACCCUCGGGAACACCAGUGGCGUAGGCGGAUCUCUGGGAGAAGAUUGACACUGAGACACGAAAGCUAGGGGAGCGAAGCAGAUUAGAGACCUGCGUAGUCCUAGCCGUAAACGCAUGCUUGCUAGCUGCAUGAAUCUACCUUCGGGUGGUAUCGUGUGGCGAAGGUAACCCGUUAAGCAAGCCGCCUGGAAAGUACGGCCGCAAGGCUGAAAUUCAAAGGAAUUGGCGGGGAGGCACACAACCAGUGGAACAUGUGGUUUAAUUCGAGACUAACCGAAGAACCUCACCAGGGUUUGACAUGUAGCUGCACGUCUUAAGAAAUUAAGACUCUCUUGAAGGUGCUACACAGGUGCUGCAUGGCUGUCGUCAGCUCGUUCCGUGAGGAGUGCCCUUAAGUGGGACAACGAGCGCAACCCCUAUUACAUGUUAGAAAUGUCAUGUAAGACUGCCUUGCCAUUUGGCGGGGAGGAAGGAGGGGCAGACGUCAAGUCCGCAUGGUCCUUAUGCCCUGGGCUACACACAUGUUACAAUGAGUACAGCAAUGAGUCUGUCGCGAGCACGUAAGUGUAAGCUAAUCUCUUAAAUGUACUCUCAGUGGGGAUUGAGGUCUGCAACUCGACCUCAUGAACACGGAAUUGGUAGUAAUCGCGGGUCAGCUAUACCGCGGUGAAUACGUUCUUGCCUCUUGCACACACCGCCCGUCAAACCAGCAAAGUCGAUUGUAUCCGAACCUCUCUUU